GUAGGUGAACCUGCGGAAGGAUCAUUACAGAGUUCAUGCCCUUACGGGUAGGUCUCCCACCCUUGAAUAAUUAUACCUUAGUUGCUUUGGCAGGCCGUGGAAACACCACGGGCUUCGGCUUGUGUCGUGCCCGCCAGAGAACCAAACUCUGAAUGUUAGUGAUGUCUGAGUACUAUCUAAUAGUUAAAACUUUCAACAACGGAUCUCUUGGUUCUGGCAUCGAUGAAGAACGCAGCAUCUGACUGACUUC
rnacentral:misc_RNA from 1 species